rnacentral:rRNA from 1 species
GAAUUACUGGGCGUAAAGCGUGCGUAGGUGGUUGUUUAAGUCUGCUGUGAAAGCCCUGGGCUCAACCUGGGAAUUGCAGUGGAUACUGGGCGACUAGAGUGUGGUAGAGGAUAGUGGAAUUUCCGGUGUAGCAGUGAAAUGCGUAGAGAUCGGAAGGAACAUCUGUGGCGAAGGCGACUACCUGGACCAGCACUGACACUGAGGCACGAAAGCGUGG